rnacentral:rRNA from 1 species
UACGUAGGGGGCAAGCGUUAUCCGGAUUUAUUGGGCGUAAAGAGCUCGUAGGCGGCCGAUCGCGUCGGAUGUGAAAGCUCGGGGGCUCAACCCUGAGAGGCCAUUCGAUACGGAUCGGCUAGAGGUAGGUAGGGAAAGUGGAAAUUUCCUGGUGUAGCGGGUGAAAUGCGCAGAUAUCAGGGAAAGAACACCCUAUGGCGAAAGGGCAGCUCUCUGGGACGGGUACUGACGCGAGACGCGAAAAGCGUGGGGAGCGAAACAGGG